AGAAUGAAGUGAUAUGGGGGCCAGAUGCUGGGCUGAGGGGGAAACCGAGGCUGCAGAUGCACCUUUCACCUACCUGGGAGAGGUGACACGGAAGGGCUAUUGGGAGCAUGGGGAACUGCCUGCUGUCCAGGGCUGAAGUGGAAAGGAGGAUCCCCUGGGUGAACCAGCAUGGCCACCAUGGGAAAAGUCACAGAGGCUAUAGAUGGGGAAAGGGCUGCCCAAAGCCUGGACUCUCCCUGUGUUUCUCCUCCCUCUCCUCUGUCCACACAGGUCAGCCCAAGUCCGCACCCUUGGUCAUGCUCUUCCUGCCCUUCUCUGAGGAGCUCAGAGUCAACAAGGCCAUCCUGGUGUGCCUCAUCAGUGACUUUUACCCUGGCAACUUGACGGUGACCUGGAAGGCAGAUGGGACCCCUGUCACCCAGGGCGUGGAGACCACCAAGCCUUUCAAACAGAGCAACAACAAGUAUGUGGCCAGCAGCUACCUGAGUCUGUCACCUGACAAGUGGAAAUCUCAUAGCAAUUUUACCUGCCAGGUCACACAUGAGGGGAGCACCGUGGAGAAGAAGGUGGUGCCCUCAGAGUGCUCUUAGGUGCCUGAGACCCCCACCCACCCAAGAGGAUGUGCAGCCAAUGGACCUCCAGGAAGGUCUCUCCUCCCACCAGGAUCAUCCCAGCC